UUUUUCUAUUUAUGUUACGGUAGGCUUUAAAACGACGUAUCAAGGUGCUACGGUGACUAUUGACGCGGCUGUGAAUCCUGAUAAACCAGACAGUCCAUAUUACACCAAUAAUAGACCGUCCCACCACAGCAGUACCUCACGGAGUGAGGAUUAUCAAAAACGUCUUUGGAUCUACACCCUCGAUUGUCUAAAACCCUUCAUGAUGGCCGAAGUAUGGAAUAGGCUGACGUCGUUCAUUCGAGCAGUGGAAACGGACGACACUUGAUUCAUUAUUAACAAUAUAAUUCGACUUUGUUAAGAAGGACUAAUAUGUGAUGCUUUUUUUCUCUCAAAUAAAGUUCAAAAUC